rnacentral:misc_RNA from 1 species
AACGCACAUUGCGCCCUGUGGUAUUCCGCAGGGCAUGCCUGUUCGAGCGUCAUUUCAACCCUCAAGCUCUGCUUGGUGUUGGGCCCCGCCCCCGCGGCCGGCCCCAAAGACAGUGGCGGCGCCGCUUGGCCCUAAGCGUAGUACAUCCCUCGCUCUAGGACCCGGCGGUGGCCUGCCAGAACCCCCAACUCAUGUGGUUGACCUCGGAUCAGGUAGGGAUACCCGCUGAACUUAA